UGAAUACGAGAUGCUACGGCGUCGAAGCAGUCUAUGUCAUACUUCCAAGAAAAGCUCCACUGUCAUAAACAAAUAAUGCCUGUACCAUAACCGACACAGGUGGGUAGGUAGAGUAUACUAAGGGGCGCGAGAUAACUCUCUCUAAGGAACUCGGCAAAAUGACUCCGUAACUUCGGGAGAAGGAGUGCCUUAUUUAUAAGGUUGCAAUAACAAGAUCCAAGCAACUGUUUAUCAAAAACACAGGUCUCCGCUAAGUCGUAAGACGAUAUAUGGGGGCUGACGCCUGCCCAGUGCCAGAAGGUUAAAGAAGUUGGUUAGCAUUCGCGAAGCUGAUAACUGAAGCCCUGGUGAACGGCGGCCGUAACAAUAACGGUCCUAAGGUAGCGAAAUUCCUUGUCGGGUAAGUUCCGACCCGCACGAAAGGCGUAAUGAUUUGGAUACUGUCUCGGAGAGGGGCUCGGUGAAAUAGACUUGUCUGUGAAGAUGCGGACUACCUGCACCAGGACAGAAAGACCCUAUGAAGCUUUACUGUAACUUGAGAUUGAAAUUGGACUUUACUUGCGCAGUAUAGGUGGGAGGCGUUGAUAAUAUUCUUGCGGGAUUAUUUGAGCCAUCAGUGAGAUACCACUCUUGUAAUGUUAGAUUUCUAACUUUGUAUCAUUAUCUGGUCAAAGGACAGUUUCAGGCGGGCAGUUUGACUGGGGCGGUCGCCUCCUAAACGGUAACGGAGGCGCACAAAGGUUUCCUCUGAACGGGUAGAAAUCGUAUCUAGAGUGUAAAGGCAUAAGGAAGCUUGACUGUGAGACCUACAAGUCGAGCAGGGACGAAAGUCGGUCUUAGUGAUCUGACGGUGCUGAGUGGAAAGGCCGUCACUCAACGGAUAAAAGUUACUCUAGGAUAACAGGCUGAUCUCCCCCAAGAGUUCACAUCGACGGGGAGGUUUGGCACCUCGAUGUCGGCUCAUCGCAUCCUGGGGCGGUAGUACGUCCCAAGGGUUGGGCUGUUCGCCCAUGAAAGCGGUACGCGAGCUGGGUUCAGAACGUCGUGAGACAGUUCGGUCCAUAUCCGGUGUAGGCGUUAGAAUAUUGAGAGGAGCCUUCUUUAGUACGAGAGGACCGAGAAGGACAUACCUCUGGUGUACCAGUUAUCGUGCCAACGGUAAACGCUGGGUAGCUAUGUAUGGAGUGGAUAACCGCUGAAAGCAUCUAAGUGGGAAGCCCACCUCAAGAUAAGUAUUC
rnacentral:rRNA from 1 species